CGGGGUGUAGCGCAGUUGGCUAGCGCGCCACGUUCGGGACGUGGAGGCCGCAGGUUCGAGUCCUGUCACCCCGACCA
rnacentral:tRNA from 1 species